GGGCCUGUAGCUCAGCUGGAAGAGCACCUGCUUUGCAAGCAGGGGGUCAGGAGUUCAAAUCUCCUCAGGUCCA
rnacentral:tRNA from 1 species